UACAGAGGUCUCAAGCGUUGUUCGGAUUCAUUGGGCGUAAAGGGUGCGUAGGCGGCGCGGUAAGUCGGUUGUGAAAUCUCUGGGCUUAACCCAGAAAGGUCAACCGAUACUGCGGGGCUAGAGUGCAGAAGGGGCAACUGGAAUUCUCGGUGUAGCGGUGAAAUGCGUAGAUAUCGAGAGGAACACCUGCGGCGAAGGCGGGUUGCUGGGCUGACACUGACGCUGAAGCGCGAAAGCUAGGGGAGCGAACGGG
rnacentral:rRNA from 1 species